GCCCGGGUGGUGAAAUAGGUAGACACAAGGGACUUAAAAUCCCUCGGCAUCUGAUGCUGUACCAGUUCAAGUCUGGUCCCGGGUACCA
rnacentral:tRNA from 1 species